rnacentral:rRNA from 1 species
CGCGAACGUUGGCGGCGUGCCUAACACAUGCAAGUCGUGGGGCAGCAGGCUACUACCUUCGGGUAGUAGUGCUGGCGACCGGCAAACGGGUGAGUAACACGUAGCUUACCUACCCAUAGGUUGGGGAUAACAUCCCGAAAGGGGUGCUAAUACCCAAUAAUGAGGAGACUCCAAAGCCCUUAUGGGCGCCUAUGGAUGGGGCUGCGUCCCAUCAGCUAGUUGGUGAGGUAAUGGCUCACCAAGGCUACGACGGGUAACCGGUCUGAGAGGAUGACCGGUCACAGUGGGACUGAGACACGGCCCGCACCCCUACGGGGGGCAGCAGUGGGGAAUAUUGGGCAAUGGCCGAAAGGCUGACCCAGCAACGCCGCGUGGUGGAUGAAGCCCUUCGGGGUGUAAACACCUUUUCUGGGGGAAGAUAAUGACGGUACCCCAGGAAUAAGGGACGGCUAACUACGUGCCAGCAGCCGCGGUAAUACGUAG